ensembl:snRNA U7 U7 small nuclear RNA
UAGUAUUAGACCUCUUCUAGAAUUUGUCUAGUAGGUUUUCCAGUUUCCACCAGAAAACUCCC